UUUAAUACUUACUACUGGAGAAUCUUAUCUCUCAGUUAAAAUAUAACUCAAUUUCACAAUACAAUGAAGGAUGAACAUGGGGAGAUGGGACACUUCUUGUCCACAAAAUAGCGGCCACAUCUUCUCAAACUACUUGUAACAGUCACUACUUUACCAUCAAUUCCAGAACCAGGAAACAAUAUACUGACUUCAAGUCGUGUAACGAUGCCACUCUCCUAAAGGAAAUUUCGCCCCAAUAUUUGUGCAAAUAGGAUACAAUGAAGCACAUUUGAAAAUGGACAGUUAUCAAAGUGAGACAGCAAAUUCGAAAAUGUCUCACACUUCUUUUUACUCUAUCAGAAGUCUUGCAGGUACAGUUUUAUCUAAUACAAAUUGAUAUGUUUCAUCAUCUUAAGGUGUGCUACAACGUCAUCUAUCUUUUGUCCCUAAAGGUCUUCUUAUUUAGCUUCAUUCUCUAUUUUCCUAUCAGCUGCCAACUCUUCAUAGAUCUCCAGAACAUCUUCAACAAUCUCAUCUUUCAAUUCACAUUCAUGCACCCUUGCAGGAACAGAUAUUGCAUUUAUCUACAAAGGACAACAACUGGAAAUCAGAAACUGUCAAUUCAUGUAAUCAAAGAUAGUGUAGAUGAAGUCUGUAAUUUACCCACCGAUUCAUGGAAGAUUGUCGGAAUUGGGCAUUUUUCUGAAGCUAGUGUAACUUGUGAAGCCAAUUGUGGCAUAAUUCUUCGGAUGAUACCUGUGACAGCUACUGAAUCAUCACUAGCGCAAUAAAAGCAUGGAUUUCCCUCGUGUGUGUGAGGUAGCCUUGA